UACGUAGGGUGCGAGCGUUGUCCGGAAUUACUGGGCGUAAAGAGCUCGUAGGUGGUUUGUUGCGUUGUUCGUGAAAACUCACAACUCAAUUGUGGGCGUGCGGGCGAUACUGCCAUGACUAGAGUCCGGUAGGGGAGCAGGGAAUUCCUGGUGUAGCGGUGAAAUGCGCAGAUAUCAGGAGGAACACCGGUGGCGAAGGCGCUGCUCUGGGCCGGUACUGACGCUGAGGAGCGAAAGCGUGGGUAGCAAACAGG
rnacentral:rRNA from 1 species